ensembl:snRNA U6 U6 spliceosomal RNA
CUGCUCACUUUGGCAGCAUAGAAACUAAAGUUAGAACAAUACAGAGAAGAUUAGCGUGACCUCUGCGUAAGGGAGGACACGAAAAUUGAUAAAGCAUCCCAUAUUUAA